AUCAUCAUUUUUCAAAUACUUUAUGUGCAAUGAUAUAGAAUUGGAAAAUAUAAAUGUACAUAUUUUUGCAUAUAUAAGGCAAAGGAAUGCUACAUAAAUAAAGAGGCCAAUAUGCAUUUUAGUGCAUAUCCUUUUUAUUAUUAUUAUUUUCUUUUAAAUUCUUAGGCAAAAGGCACAAAGCCCCCAAGUACAUUUUUUCCGACCUCACUCCUACGGCAUCAACCACUACGAAUUGAUUGAUCCUUCUUGGUAGAUCUUGACUCCCAAAAAUUAAUGCCUAACACCGCAUUGGGCUCUUGACACACACACACACACACACAGAGAGAGCAAUGCUAGUAUCUACAGACGCACACAACGUUGUUAGGAUUGUAUCACUUCUCGUUCCAAUUUUAGAAAUCCGAUCCGUUUAGUUUAGGUUUGGAUCAAAGGGAUCAGAAAAGUAUGAGUUGAGAAAGAUGUUGUGAUAUGUAUCUUAGAUUUGUGUUGAGUUUAUUGUUUAAGUUGAGGAGAGAAGUGGAAAGGAAGAAAAGGGAUGAUGUCGAGCUUGAAGAGGGAUUUGAAAAUAUGAUUAUUGAUAGAGAAAGCCUUGGAUCAAGCAUAUAAGAGACUAUACCCGCACUUCUAUCUGGAAGUAUAUAGGCAAUUAUCUGGAUCCAUUUUGGAUGGUCUUGUUUUUAAUCUCUUCUUGAUCUCCUUAAUUUCGCACACCCACAUCCUAGCCGCAACAUGCCAAGAUGUAAGUUAAAAUCUUUAUGUGGCUUGCUUUAAAGCUGAAUACAAGAGAAAUUCUAUCAAGAAAAGGUUGGAGCCAAGGAUCCAAUUGUAUCCCCUUGGGGAUCCAUUAUUCUCAACCGUGCCCUUGAGACAAGGACUGCACCAUUUUGUCAAGGAUGUGAAGGAAAUACUUGAAAGAACUUUACCAAGGACCUUUUAUUACCCUCCUCCCAUUUUACCUCGAUAUCCUCGCCAAAUUAAAGGUUCAAAUUCAAUCAAAUCCAAUUACAAAUGCCACGAUUAGCAUGUGGUUACUCCACCCAAGCUGUGAUAUGUCCUAGUCUACAUAGAUCAUGAGGCAAAUAUGCUCUGAUACCAUUUCUAACGAUGCAGAAGCUUACCUAAAAAGGUUAGCUCAAAGUUGUUAUUUGGAUUUAUUAACUUUGUAUGAGUAUCCAGAUCUUCCUAUUGCAUACUAGAUGUGGGGCUAAAAAUAAGCUUGCACAUGUCCUCCAAUACUCGGUGUAAAUGAACUCGAACCAUGCAAUAGAAUGAACCUUAGGAAGCUUUGGCAACAAUAUAGAAGACAGCCUCAGCUGAAAGCUUUUCUUAUUUUCUUUUUGU
rnacentral:lncRNA from 1 species